rnacentral:rRNA from 1 species
CCUACGGGAGGCAGCAGUAGGGAAUAUUGCUCAAUGGGGGAAACCCUGAAGCAGCAACGCCGCGUGGAGGAUGAAGGUUUUCGGAUUGUAAACUCCUUUUGUUAAAGACGAUAAUGCCGUUAUCUAACGAAUAAGCACCGGCUAACUCCGUGCCAGCACCCGCCGUAAUACGAGGGGUGCAAGCGUUAUCUGGAUCUAGUGGGUUUAAAGGGUGCGCAGGCGGAAUGUCAAGUCAGCGGUAAAAUUUCGGGGCUAAACGCCGUCGGGCCGUUGAAACUGGCGGUCUUGAGUGAGCGAGAAGUAUGCGGAAUGCGAGGUGUAGCGGUGAAAUGCAUAGAUAUCACGCAGAACUCCGAUUGCGAAGGCAGCACACCGGCGCUCAACUGACGCUCAUGCACGAAAGCGUGGGUAGCGAACAGGAUUAGAUACCCUGGUAGUC